CAAGUUCAGAAGAAAUUAACAUUUCAGAAAACAAAUUAACAUUUCAGAAAACAAAUUAACAUCACUCGAAACACUUUUACAAGUGGCAAAAUCAACCGGAAAGGGUAGGUACUAACUCCAAGGCUGACCCGGAAGUGAUAACGGAAGCGGGCAUUUCAACCCAAGAUGGACAGCAGUUCAGUGGCGUUUUGCCCGUUUUGCGGGGCACAUAUGAGUAGAUUAACGCGGUUUUGUUUUUCUUGUGGACGGUCCUUAGAGUUUUUAAAUGGGACAGAACAGACGGAAGGUCCAGAGGCACAGGGGAUAUGUCAACAGCCGGAUAAUGCUAAACAAACAGAAAAACCUUGCUCGUCAUAUAAACAGUUCCUGGAAUACCGAAGCUCGAAGUCCAAAGAGCGUCAGUCUUUUAACUACGGGCCUAGAGGAAGACACCGGGCUAAAGAACAAAAACACGUCCAGGUUUUUGAACUCCCAAAGAUAAGUCUGAAAAUGAAAGAGAUGCACUGGGACAUCAAGCUACAAUUCAGCCAGGACAGGUAAUGUCAUUUUCAGACGUUCAUCAUAUUCUGAAAACUGUGACAUGCUGGUCAGAUUUACCGAUAAUGCAGGUGUUUAUGAGGAAGGGAUUGACACAGGUGGUCCAAGAUGAGAAUUUUUUAACUCUGCUAAUGAAGCACCUGAAAGACCGGCCAAUUUUUGAUGGACCAGAGGGACAUCGGUUCUUGGUCUAUAAUGCAAAUGGUAUGCAUAGGGUUAGAUAUGUGCUAUACUAAUGGAUGGUUAUUAGUAAACAGAUAUGUGACACAGAAUAUGUUUUUUUUUUUUUUUUUUUUCCCCCCAAUAUCUUAAAGUAAAUAAUGUAUGUUUUCAUUUUACAAUAUGAAUUCAUUCACAGCUGUUAGGGAGGAUGAAUACUUCCUGGCAGGACAGAUGAUUGCAGUUUCAGUUGUACAUGGAGGUCCGGGACCCCAUUUCCUGUCAGAAGAUCUUGUACAGUAUCUUGCUGGCCAGCCUUCAUUCAAACCAACAGUUAAUUUAAUAACUGAUGAAGAAAUAGGGAAAGCUUUGCGAGAGAUUGAGAAUGCUGCUACAUUGGAUGCUCUACAAGAAUGUAUCAUGAGACACAGCACAAUGUUGCAGACAGCAGGCUGUCUUAGACAUGUGGCUGCUGUGGACGAAAAGACAGAAAUUGUGGCCAACUACCUCCAGUGGUAUAUUUUUGACCGCAACUCAUCUGUAAUUGACAGUGUGUUCACUUUGUAGAUUCAAAGAUGGUCUUUCAGCUCUUCAGUUCCUGACUGCACUACAGCAACACCCUACUUUGCUGACCCCUGUCCUGUGCCACUGUGAAAAGCGACUGACUGCCUUUGAGCUUGAGAGACUCUUCAAACCUCAACUCAGCCCUUCAGGGAGUAAUAGGAGACUGAAAGAAAGCCAAACCUUGGCCUGCUGGGCAGACUAUCUCCUUGAUUGUGAAGAAGGCGAGGCUGCUGUGUCUGUGGAAGACAUUUUGAUGUUUGCAACUGGGCUGACAUCACUUCCCCCAUCUGGCUUGGAACCACUGCCACAAAUAGAGUUCCUGGAUGACGUUCCACUCCCAAUGGCAAAUACAUGUUCAAACUUGUUGAAAUUACCAUUUCUGGAUUCAUAUAGUGUGUUUAAGUCACAAAUGGACUUUGGAAUUCAAAAUAGUCCAGGAUUUGGUUGUCUAUAAACUAUAUAGCUAGAUAACCAUUAGAGUAGUGUUUUUCAAACCUGGUCAUCCAGGCACAAUGCCCUGCACGUUUUAGAUCAGAGAUCCUAAUCCUGAAUAACUGAUUAACAGGCUUUUUUUUUUUUUUAAACUGCAAUCAUCUGAAUCAGGUAUGUUAAAGCAGGAAAACUUGGACUCAAAAUGUUUUUUGUUCUUUGUUGGUAUUAUGUGCAUUUAAAGGUGCAGUUACUUUUGUUAAAAUACUUUAAAAUUGCGGUAAGCAAGCAUGUCUUUUUUUUUUUUUCCCCUCAGACAGCAUUUGGACAAUUGUUUUUCAUUCAUUUAUUUCCAAAUUUUAAAUACUGAAACUGUGGGUGACAAGUUGUGUACAUG